UACGGUCAAUUAUUUCGGACAAAUAAUUACAGACCACAAUGAUCAUGUAUUUUACACCGCCUACAAUGUUCGGUGGUACACUGCGUCUGUACAGGUACAGAAACUGAUACUAUUUCUUUUGCAAAGAGGUAGCAAAACUGUAACUCUGAAUUUUGCCGGAGUAUUUUCAUUAUCCAUCAAGCUUUUCGCCACGCUAAUAAAAGCAUCAUUAUCCUACUUUACUGUUAUAUAUUCCAUGCAGGAAUAGCGUCUAAAAUAAAUCAUACGUUUGUAUGUACGAUUUGUAAGAAAAUGCAACGUUAAAGUUACGUGAGAUUAUAAUGUUUGUUCGUUAAAUUAUAUCACGAGUGUUAUCUUUAAAGAGAAGAG